rnacentral:rRNA from 1 species
AGCGAACGCUGGCGGCAGGCUUAACACAUGCAAGUCGAGCGGGCAUCUUCGGGUGUCAGCGGCGGACGGGUGAGUAACGCGUGGGAACGUGCCUUCUGGUUCGGAAUAACUCAGGGAAACUUGAGCUAAUACCGGAUACGCCCUUUUGGGGAAAGGUUUACUGCCGGAAGAUCGGCCCGCGUCUGAUUAGCUAGUUGGUGGGGUAACGGCCUACCAAGGCGACGAUCAGUAGCUGGUCUGAGAGGAUGAUCAGCCACACUGGGACUGAGACACGGCCCAGACUCCUACGGGAGGCAGCAGUGGGGAAUAUUGGACAAUGGGGGCAACCCUGAUCCAGCCAUGCCGCGUGAGUGAUGAAGGCCUUAGGGUUGUAAAGCUCUUUUAUCCGGGACGAUAAUGACGGUACCGGAGGAAUAAGCCCCGGCUAACUUCGUGCCAGCCGCCGCAGUAAGAC